rnacentral:lncRNA from 1 species
CAGAAGUCCAUUUAGUGUACAUAAUUCUCAGUGACAGCAAGUGGUUUUAAGUUGUAACAAGCUUUCUUUACCUUAUAUGAUUGUAUUUAAUAUUUAUCCUAUUCCGGGCUUUUUUUCAUCCUAUUGGAACUUUAAAAGCCGGGAAAACUUAAUGGCCAGGAGUAGAACCAAUUGCAAGGAUACUGUUCAUUACAACAAAGUCACUCACGAACAUUAAUGCUACAAGUAUUUUAACAGUAUUUCAAGUUUCUACUUCUAUGUCAGUUACUGGCUGCUGUCUUCUAGCUUUUGGUUGUGUGUUUCUUCUCUAAUUGGAUUCACCCAAAAUGGGGUAAUCAAUAUAGUCAUAGAAAGUGGUGGCAACGAUUGGUGGCUUGCUGUAGCCUUUUCUUCAGUAUUGAUUUGAGGGGGUUUCAGCUCCAUGGUGAAGCUGGCGCAGUUUUACCAUAUAUAGAUAUUUGCCUCGAGCUCUUUCUUUCCAUUGAUAAUCUUUGUUAAUACCAGAACAUAUCAAAUAGAAAGGAUGAAGAUAUUUUCCUCUUCUAUUUCCUCUUUGAAGGAUUGAGCUUACGUAGUAAAAAUUUCGGAUUUGUACUACUACUGUUCCAUGUACAAUCAUUAUUACAACUGCUACUAUUUUCACUGUUUAAGCAGCUACAUUUAUUGAUGUCACAUUUAACUGGCAAUGAAAUGCAAUUUUUAUUUUUUUUAUUGGGGGGAAGAACAGAUUGAUUAAAAAAAAGGUAAAACCCAACAUUUCUGAUACUCACCAGUAGCACAUUCAGUUCCCUAUUGGAAUUUAUCAAGGGAGAAUAGCCAGCUUGGUGUGUUUUUGUUUCUUUCUUGGAUUCUUAAAAUAUUGAAAUUCUAUGACCAUGGAGACUAACAUGGGGUCAAUCAGAC